rnacentral:rRNA from 1 species
AGUGAACGCUGGCGGUAGGCCUAACACAUGCAAGUCGAACGGCAGCACAGUAAGAGCUUGCUCUUACGGGUGGCGAGUGGCGGACGGGUGAGGAAUACAUCGGAAUCUACUUUUUCGUGGGGGAUAACGUAGGGAAACUUACGCUAAUACCGCAUACGACCUACGGGUGAAAGCAGGGGAUCUUUGGACCUUGCGCGAUUGAAUGAGCCGAUGUCCGAUUAGCUAGUUGGCGGGGUAAAGGCCCACCAAGGCGACGAUCCGUAGCUGGUCUGAGAGGAUGAUCAGCCACACUGGAACUGAGACACGGUCCAGACUCCUACGGGAGGCAGCAGUGGGGAAUAUUGGACAAUGGGCGCAAGCCUGAUCCAGCCAUACCGCGUGGGUGAAGAAGGCCUUCGGGUUGUAAAGCCCUUUUGUUGGGAAAGAAAAGCAGCAGGUUAAUACCCCGCUGUUCUGACGGUACCCAAAGAAUAAGCACCGGCUAACUUCGUG